rnacentral:rRNA from 1 species
CACGUAGGGCGCGAGCGUUGUCCGGAAUUAUUGGGCGUAAAGAGCUCGUAGGCGGCCUGUUGCGUCCGCUGUGAAAGCCCGGGGCUUAACCCCGGGUCGGCAGUGGAUACGGGCAGGCUAGAGGUAGGUAGGGGAGAAUGGAAUUCCCGGUGUAGCGGUGAAAUGCGCAGAUAUCAGGAGGAACACCAGUGGCGAAGGCGGUGGUCUGGGCCGAUACUGACGCUGAGGUGCGAAAGCGUGGGGAGCAAACAGG